GCUUACAGCCAUACCAACCGAAGAACACCCAAUCUCGUCUGAUCUUGGAAGCUAAGGAGGGUAGGACCUGCAUAGUAUUUGGAUGGGAGACUGCCUGGGAAUACCAGGUGCUGUAAGCU
ensembl:rRNA 5S_rRNA 5S ribosomal RNA